UUAAAAAAAGAUUCAGCGGGUUGAAUUUGGUGCCCAAAAUUUCCAGAUCGAAAAUUCAAUAUAUAAGGACACUCCAGAUUUAAUUUCGUGAUUUUGGGAGAUCGGGAACACCUUGAACGAAGUUGUCAAGUUACUCCGCAGUUUUUCGGGUUUUCUGUUUUCAGCAAUUUUUAUUGAUUCUUAGCUGUAGGUUUUCAUUUGUUUGCUUUUUAUUCUCCUUUUACAAUAUCUAACACCUUCUUGUUUCUUGUGUUAGUAGGAUUUAAACGUGUGCACAAUCCUUCCUCGGUGCAACACGAAUCACUUGGUGUCUCGUCAGUUUUUGGCAUCCUAGUGCAAAUUAGGAUUCUUUGGUAGUUUG
rnacentral:lncRNA from 1 species